rnacentral:misc_RNA from 1 species
GUGAAUCAUCGAAUCUUUGAACGCAAAUUGCACUCUCCUCGGAGAGUAUGCCUGUUUGAGGGUCAGCCUAUAAAAAAUCGACAUCGUUGCUGUUUCGCGGUGGCGUUCGUCGGAAAAUGGGUCAUAUUAAAUCUUUUGGUUUUAAGAGACUUAAAAUUUUAUUUUUGGUUAAAUGAAAGUAUAUAAGAUUAAUUUCUUUACAAGA